UUCGUCUAUGAUUUCAAAAGAGUCCAAGAGAUCCAUAGAAAAGAUCAAAUCAGCCAUCACUAGGUCUUCACGCUAGCAUUCUCGAGGAGAUCGAUCAGCAUAGGACUUUAAGUGGACCAACCAUAGAGGUCGGACACCCUGUGCGGCUGUGAGCAUCCUUUAAGUCCUUGUGAUUCAAAUGCAGAGAUCUUCUUCCCAUGCUCAGGUAUCAAGUUCUGA
rnacentral:lncRNA from 1 species